AAUAUUGGACAAUGGGGGCAACCCUGAUCCAGCCAUGCCGCGUGUGUGAAGAAGGUCUUCGGAUUGUAAAGCACUUUAAGUUGGGAGGAAGGGCUUUAGGUUAAUACCCUGAAGUUUUGACGUUAGCAACAGAAUAAGCACCGGCUAACUCUGUGCCAGCAGCCGCGGGAAUACAGAGGGAGUAAGCGUUAAGCGGAAUUACUGGGCAUAAAGCGGGAGUAGGGUGUUCAGUAAGAUGGGUGGUAAAUCCCCGGGCUUAACCUGGGAACUGCUUUCAUAACUGCGGAGCUAGAGUACGGUAGAGGGUAGUGGAAUUUCCUGUGUAGCGGUGAAAUGCGUAGAUAUAGGAAGGAACACCAGUGGCGAAGGCGACUACCUGGACUGAUACUGACACUGAGGUGCGAAAGCGUGGGGAGCAAACA
rnacentral:rRNA from 1 species